rnacentral:rRNA from 1 species
CCUACGGGAGGCAGCAGUGGGGAAUAUUGCACAAUGGGGGAAACCCUGAUGCAGCGACGCCGCGUGAGUGAAGAAGUAUUUCGGUAUGUAAAGCACUAUCAGCAGGGAAGAAAAUGACGGUAUCUGUUUAAGAAGCCCCGGCUAACUACGUGCCAGCAGCCGCGGUAAUACGUAGGGGGCAAGCGUUAUCCGGAUCUACUGGGUGUAAAGGGAGUGUAGACGGCAGCACAAGUCUGGAGUGAAAUGCCGGGGCUUAACCCCGGAACUGCUUUGGAAACUGUGCGGCUAGAGUGCAGGAGAGGUAGGUAGAAUUCCUGGUGUAGCGGUGAAAUGCGUAGAUAUUAGGAGGAACACCAGUGGCGAAGGCGGCUUACUGGACUGUAACUGACGUUGAGGCUCGAAAGCGUGGGGAGCAAACAGGAUUAGAUACCCUAGUAGUC